GAUGAACGCUGGCGGCGUGCCUAAUACAUGCAAGUCGAGCGAACAGACGAGGAGCUUGCUCCUCUGACGUUAGCGGCGGACGGGUGAGUAACACGUGGAUAACCUACCUAUAAGACUGGGAUAACUUCGGGAAACCGGAGCUAAUACCGGAUAAUAUAUUGAACCGCAUGGUUCAAUAGUGAAAGACGGUUUUGCUGUCACUUAUAGAUGGAUCCGCGCCGCAUUAGCUAGUUGGUAAGGUAACGGCUUACCAAGGCAACGAUGCGUAGCCGACCUGAGAGGGUGAUCGGCCACACUGGAACUGAGACACGGUCCAGACUCCUACGGGAGGCAGCAGUAGGGAAUCUUCCGAAAUGGGCGAAAGCCUGACGGAGCAACGCCGCGUGAGUGAUGAAGGGCUGCGGAUCGUAAAACUCUGUUAUUAGGGAAGAACAAAUGUGUAAGUAACUAUGCACGUCUUGACGGUACCUAAUCAGAAAGCCACGGCUAACUACGU
rnacentral:rRNA from 1 species